rnacentral:rRNA from 1 species
GGAAGUAAAAGUCGUAACAAGGUCUCCGUUGGUGAACCAGCGGAGGGAUCAUUACUGAGUUUUACAACUCCCAAACCCAUUGUGAACCUUACCAUCGUUGCUUCGGCGGGAUCGCCCCGGUGCCUCUGCUGCCCGGAACCAGGCGCCCGCCGGAGGCCCUAAACUCUGGUUUAUAUUGUGACAUUUCUGAGUGGCGCAAGCAAAAAAUAAAUCAAAACUUUCAACAACGGAUCUCUUGGUUCUGGCAUCGAUGAAGAACGCAGCGAAAUGCGAUAAGUAAUGUGAAUUGCAGAAUUCAGUGAAUCAUCGAAUCUUUGAACGCACAUUGCGCCCGCUAGUAUUCUAGCGGGCAUGCCUGUUCGAGCGUCAUUUCAACCCUCAAGCCCCCUUGGGGCCUGGUGUUGGGGGACGGCUCCUUCUGGAGCCGCCGCCGAAAUGCAGUGGCGGUCUCGCUGUCUGCUUCCUCUGCGUAGUAGAAACACCUCGCACUGGGACGCGGCGCGGCCAUGCCGUAAAACGCAACCAUCUAUUCUGAAGGUUGACCUCGGAUCAGGUAGGAAUACCCGCUGAACUUAAGCAUAUCAAUAAGCGGAGGA